ensembl:lncRNA
UGGGGAAGGGUCCUAAAGGGGAUGGGAUGGAUAUGGGGGGCAGUGAGGGGAUGGGGAAGGGGAAGGGUCCUCAAGAGGAUGGGGUGGGAGGAGGUUAUGGGGUGGGGAAGGGUCAGUCAAUGGUUGGGUUGGGUCCUAAAGGGGAUGGGAUGGAUAUGGGGGGCAGUGAGGGGAUGGGGAAGGGGAAGGGUCCUCAAGGGGAUGGGGUAGGAGGAGGUUAUGGGGUGGGGAAGGGUCCUCAAGGGGAUGGGGUGAGUAUGGGGGGCGAUGAGGGGAGGGGGAAGGGUGACGUCGGCCAACAGUUGGGUGAGGGGUUGGGGGUCCCCGUGGGGCCAAUUGGGGGCGAUAGUGAGGGGGGGGUUGAUGGGUUGGGGGCUGAGGGGGAUGGGAAGGGAUAUGGGGCGGGCGCCAUGUUGGGGACCAGGAAGGAUGUGGGGCCAGGUGAGGUGAGGGUGAAGGGCCUGGUGACGGCCAAGGGGUGGGGGGCUGGGAAGGGCCCCAAAGGGGGAUGGGGGGCAGAUGAGGGUCGUGGGGUGGUCAGGGAGAUGGUGAGGGGAUGGAAGGGGCAGGGGGCGGCCGAGGGGGCAACUAUGGCAACAAUGGAGGCCAAGAUGGAGGCCAAGAUGGAGGCCAAGAUGGAGGCCAAGAUGGCGCCAUCAACCACGUCACCGUCGGCCAUGACACCCCCAACCACGUCCCCAACGGAGGCCAAGAUGGCGGCCAAGAUGGCGCCAUCAACCACAUCAUCAAUAACCAUGGCAACAACAGAGGCCAAGAUGGCGGCCAAGAUGGCAGCCAAGAUGGAGGCCAAGAUGGCACCAUCACCCACAUCAUCGCCAACCAUGGCAACAACAGAGGCCAAGAUGGAGGCCAAGAUGGCACCACCCCCCACGUCCUCCCCAACCACGUCACCGUCGGCCAUGACACCCCCAACCACAUCCCCAAUGGAGGCCAAGAUGGAGGCCAAGAUGGCGGCCAAGAUGGAGGCCAAGAUGGCGCCAUCACCCACGUCACCUGCAACCAUGGCAACAAUGGAGGCCAAGAUGGAGGCCAAGGUGCCACCAACCACCACGUCACUGUCGGCCAUGACACCUUCAACCACGUCCCCAAUGGAGGCCAAGAUGGAGGCCAAUAUGGCUGCCAAUAUGGCUGCCAAGAUGGAGGCCAAGAUGGCGGACAAGACGGAGGCCAAUAUGGCUGCCAAUAUGGCUGCCAAGCCGCCCCCACCCCCCGCAUCCCCGCCAUGUUCCGCCCCGCCCCCCCCGUCCCCACAUCCUCCUCCCGCCCCCCAAGUCGGUUCCGGGUUCUGCCCCACAUCCUCCCCACCCCAUGGGGGUCCCAUAGGGGCCGUGACCAUGCGCGGGGCCCCACGGCGAGACCCCACCCCGCCCCCCCUGACCCACCCGGCCCUACAGCGGCGCAGUGGGAACACCAUCACCGUCAGACCCCGACGGGGGGCGGCCAAUGAGGGGGGGGGGGCUGCGCCCCAUAACAACGACCCCCCGGCCCCACAAGUGACCCCAAAGAAGCGCUACCCCACGGCAGAGGAGAUCCAGGUCAUUGGGGGGUACCUGGCUCUGCCCCGAUCCUGCCUGGCCAAGAACGACCCCCAUAGGAAGAAGGUGAGUCAGUGCGGACCCCCACCCCAUAUUGGGACCCCCACCCCAUAUUGUGACCCCCACCCCAUAUCUGGGACCCCCACCCCAUAUCUGGGACCCCCACCCCAUAUUGUGCCCUCCACCCCAUAGGAAGAAGGUGAGUCAAUGAGGACCCCCACCCCAUAUUGGGACCCCCACCCCAUAUUGUGGGACCCCCAUCCCAUAUUGGGACCCCCACCCCAUAUCUGGGACCCCCAACCCCAUAUUGUGGGACCCCCACCCCAUAUUGGGACCCCCACCCCAUAUUGUGGGACCCCCACCCCAUAUUGGGACCCCCCAACCCUAUAUUGUGGGACCCCCAACCCUAUAUUGUGGGACCCCCACCCCAUAUUGUGACCCCCAUCCCAUAUUGGGACCCCCACCCCAUAUUGUGGGACCCCCACCCCAUAUUGGGACCCCCACCCCAUAUUGUGGGAGCCCCACCCCAUAUUGGGACCCCCACCCCAUAUUGUGGGAGCCCCACCCCAUAUCUGGGACCCCCACCCCAUAUUGGGACCCCCACUCCAUAUUGUGGGACCCCCACCCCAUAUUGGGACCCCUACCCCAUAUCUGGGACCCCCACCCCAUAUUGUGGGACCCCCACCCCAUAUUGGGACCCCCACCCCAUAUUGGGACCCCCACCCCAGAUUGGGACCCCCACCCCAUAGAGUGGGACCCCCAACCCCAUAUUGGGACCCCCAUCCCAUAUUGUGGGACCCCCACCCCAUAUUGUGGGACCCCCACCCCAUAUUGGGACCCCCAACCCAUAUUGGGACCCCCACCCCAUAUUGUGUGACCCCCACCCCAUAUUGGGACCCCCACCCCAUAUUGGGACCCCCAACCCUAUAUUGUGUCCCCCCAACCCCAUAUUGUGGGACCCCCACCCCAUACUGGGACCCCCAACCCCAUAUUGGGACCCCCACCCCAUAUCUGGGACCCCCACCCCAUAUUGUGGGAGCCCCACCCCAUAUCUGGGACCCCCACCCCAUAGAGUGGGACCCCCAACCCCAUAUUGUGGGACCCCCACCCCAUAUUGGGACCCCCACCCCAUAUGGUGACCCCCACCCCAUAUUGGGACCCCCACCCCAUAUCUGGGACCCCCAACCCCAUA